CCUAGCUCUGGUCUGAUCUAUAAACCACAGUAGUUGAGAGUAUAAGUAUGAAGUCUGACUGCCUGGGUUUGAAACCUAUCUCCUACAUCUUAGAUGUGUGACCAGCAAGUUAUUUAAUCCCUUUCAUGACUUAGUUCUCUUAUUUAUGAAAUAGAGAUGACAGUACCACCUAUGUCACAGAAUGCUUUUGAGGAUUAAAUGACAUAAUUAAUGUGUAACAUUUAGCACAAUGCUUGGUGCAUAUUAAGUGUACAAGAUAUGUUAUUAUUUUUAAAAAGAUUUUAUUUAUUUCUGGGAUGCCCGGGUGGCUCAGCAACUGAAUGUCUGCCUUCCACUCUGGGCGUGAUCACCCGGUCUGGGAUCUACUCCCGCAUCAAGCUGCUUGAUGGGAGCCUGCUUCUCCCUCUGCCUAUGUCUCUGCCUCUCUCUGUGUGUCUCUCUGUCUCUGUCUCUCUCUGUGUCUCAUGAAUAAAUAAAUGAAUAAAAUAUUUUAAAAAAUUAAGAAAGAUUUUAUUUAUUUCUGAGACUGAGAGCAUGAAAGGGGGGGACAGCAGAGGAAGAGAGACAAGCAGCCUCCUCACUGAGCACUGAGCCCAGUGUGGGGCUCCAUCCAAGGUCUAAUUCCUCCUAAAUUCUCGUAUGAAAUAUUUUGCCUUUUCUUGAGCUUUUUCUCUUUCCUGUAAUGCUUUUUUGUUUUUGUCUCCUCUUCACCUGUCUAAAUCCUUUAAGGUCCAAGGCAACUUUUUCUUCUCCACAAACUCCUUCUCAGGGGACUCCUGCGCUCACUGAUCUACUCACUGAUCUUUGGCUACCUAUGCCUCAGUCAUCAGAACCAAUUAUCCAACACUUUCCUGUCCUCCUGAGAUGUCUAAUGUGUCAUGUCCACCCCCAGCUGGGGCCUCAUCACAGAGAAACCCCUUCUGAGACCCUGAUAGCAUCUGUGACCUUGAGACCAUGUGUUCUCCGUGGCCCUGCAUGCCCUGUUCUCCCACUCCCCAAAGUAGACAAGCAAUGGACUGGUCCAGCUUUAUUCCUGUCUCCUAGCAACCAUCCUUGGAAGAUGGAAAGUGAAUGUUAAGGUCUGGAGAUUGGGCUGGGUCAGAGGGCAGGCAGGAGAGCUGGGAUUGGGUGCUGCUUCUGAGAGA
rnacentral:lncRNA from 12 species